rnacentral:tRNA from 1 species
UUCCCUGUAGCUCAGAGGGUAAAGAAACUGCCUGCAAUACAGGAGACCCAGGUUCAAUCCCUGGUCAGGAAG